CUGCAAUUUGCCAAUCAAUUCGUAUCCCCAUUACCCCAAUCUCGUCUGCACUCGUUCUCCAAUCAAAAUCGCUCUCUCUCGCUCGCAAAGAGCCUUUUGGUUGCAACUGGUCUCCAUAUGCAUAAAGAGGGCACUCACCCAACAAAGUGGGAAAAUGAAUAAACAGAAAUUAUACUGUAACAGAGUAAUAUGAUCAUAUCAGAAAGACAAGUAAAAGCUGAGUGCACAACCCAUCCACCCUAAAAUGAAUUGAGCUUUAUUCUUGCUUAUGGCCUAAAAUUCCCUCUUCAUAAUAGCAAAAACUAUAAGGAAAAAGGCAAAAGAUAAAAGGAUUAAUUCCAAUAUCCUGCUGAGCUCAACAGACAGACACAGAGCAGAGAGAGAGAGAGAGAGAGAGAGAAGGGGGGCGGGGGGAUUUGAUGUAAUUCCAAAAAAAAAAAUUUAUUAUUUUCUUGGGGUGAAGGGGGAGAUGUCAGGUGGUGGGUGUAGCAUAGUCUGGUUCAGAAGAGAUCUGAGAGUAGAGGAUAACCCAGCACUGAGUGCUGGAGUGAGAGCAGGUGCUGUGGUUGCAGUCUUCAUAUGGGCACCUGAGGAGGAAGGUCACUACUACCCAGGCAGGGUCUCCAGGUGGUGGCUUAAGCACAGUCUGGCUCACCUUGAUUCCUCUUUGAGAAGCCUUGGCACUUUUCUCGUCACCAAGAAAUCCACCGACUCCAUUUCUUCUCUACUCGAGGUUGUCAAGGCCACUGGUGCUACUCAACUCUUCUUCAACCACUUAUAUGAUCCUUUGUCACUUGUUAGAGAUCACCGGGCAAAGGAGGUUUUAACUGCACAAGGGAUAGAUGUACGCUCCUUCAAUUCGGAUUUGCUGUAUGAACCAUGGAAUGUUAAUGAUGCCCAUGGCCGCCCCUUCACAACUUUCGCCUCCUUUUGGGAAAGAUGCCUUAGCAUGCCUUAUGAUCCGGAGGCACCACUUCUCCCACCUAUGAAGAUAAUUUCAGGUGAUGUAUCAAGGUGCCCAUCAGAUGCAUUAGCAUUUGAAGACGAAUCAGAGAAGGCAAGCAAUGCACUUCUUGCUCGAGCAUGGUCACCAGGGUGGAGCAAUGCUGAUAAGGCUUUGACUAUAUUCAUCAAUGGACCAUUAAUAGAGUAUUCUAAAAAUCGCAGGAAAGCUGAUAGCGUCACAACCUCAUUUCUCUCUCCCCACUUGCAUUUUGGGGAGGUGAGUGUACGGAAAGUGUUUCAUAUUGUCCGUAUCAAGCAGGUUCUAUGGGCCAAUGAAGGAAACAAGGCUGGUGAAGAGAGUGUCAACUUAUUUCUGAAGUCUAUUGGACUUAGAGAAUAUUCAAGAUACUUGAGUUUUAACCAUCCAUACAGUCAUGAAAGGCCACUUCUUGGGCACCUUAAGCACUUCCCUUGGGUUGUGAAUGAAGGUUACUUUAAGGCAUGGAGACAAGGUAGAACUGGCUAUCCAUUGGUGGAUGCUGGGAUGAGAGAGUUAUGGGCCACUGGAUGGUUGCAUGAUCGGAUACGAGUGGUGGUUUCUAGUUUCUUUGUGAAGGUUCUUCAACUUCCUUGGAGAUGGGGAAUGAAGUAUUUCUGGGAUACACUCUUGGAUGCAGAUCUUGAGAGUGAUGCUCUUGGAUGGCAGUAUAUAUCUGGUACUAUCCCUGAUGGCCGUGAAUUUGACCGGAUAGAUAAUCCACAGUUUCAGGGUUACAAGUUCGAUACUAAUGGAGAAUAUGUAAGACGUUGGCUUCCUGAACUAGCCAGGCUACCAACUGAAUGGAUACACCACCCAUGGAAUGCACCAGAAUCCGUCCUCGAAGCUGCUGGAAUUGAGCUGGGUUCAAAUUAUCCUCUUCCCAUUGUAGAGAUAGAUGCAGCUAAAACCAGAUUGCAAGAAGCACUAUUGGAGAUGUGGCAGCAAGAAGCAGCCUCAAGAGCUGCAAAUGAAAAUGGAACCGAGGAAGGGCUUGGUGACUCCACUGAUUCUGCCCCAUUUGCCUUUCCUCAAGAUAUACUUAUGGAGGAAAAUCAUGAGCCAGUGAGAAGCAACCCCCAUGCUACAGUUCGCCGCUAUGAGGAUCAGAUGGUUCCAAGCAUGACUACUUCUUCGGUGAGAGUGGAAGAGGAAGAACCUUCUUCAGAUCUUCGAGUGGCAGUAGAUAUCACAGGUCAAGUGCCAACAAAUGUAAAUGUAAAUCAAGAAGCAAUGAGGAACUCGUUAAACCAAGUAGUUCUUCAGACCGUUCAAAGAGACAAUCUGGCACAAUUUGAUCCUUCAAUAGUGUUCCAGAGUGCUUCUGAAGCUUCCACAGCAGAAUCUUCUAGUAGUAGUAGGCGAGAAAGGGAUGGAGGUGUAGUUCCAGUUUGGUCUCCUUCAACUUCUAACUACUCAGAGCAGUUAGUGGGUGAUGAAAAUGGCAUGGGAAAUAGUUCAUCAUACUUGCAGAGCCAUCCUCAGUCUCACCAAAUAGUUAAUUGGAGACGGCUAUCUCAAACCGGUUUGAGAAAGUGGAUGCCAACAUGUAAUUGGUUCAGCUACUCUCAUAUACUGAAGUUUAUGUAAGGUAGAACACACACUCAUUCGAGUAGUAGUUUGGAGGUAGAGAUGUGUAAUCAUGCACAGCCUGUUGGCCAAUGGGACGUUGAACCAGCAUCCCCAUAUAUAUCAUGCACCGGCCUUUUAUUUUCACUUGACUGACCUUAUAGUUUAUGAGAUUCGAAGUUGAUGCGGGAAGCUCACCUGCUAGCCACUCUCCUUUCUUGUUGUAUUAUAUAUGUAGCUAUGCUGUAUAGUAAAUGUUGUAAGGGGAGAAUAGAGUGAGUCAUGAGAGGGAUGUGUAGUUCUCCAAUAACCCAGCUUUAAAAGUAGUAGGCAAACAAAAGGCGGCCAUUUUGCAAAAGAAACCAACGGAAUAGAAUAAGUCUUGUCUUCAUUUCUCAAUUCCUAUCAGUAAUUGCAAUUCAGCAUACAAGAGGGGAUUUUUCAUUGUGCAAUAAGAGUUGUAACUUGAGUCAUGCCGAUUCUCGUUGGUUGAAAGUGGAAGGCAUCUAUGGAUCAGUAUGUAAAAAAAGAUGAUUGCAUGUGCCUUUAAAGCUCUCAGAUUUUUCUGGUUCAGGAACACGAAAAAGGCAAUGGCAGGGCCGAUACUCCUUGCAGGGUUCAUAGAAGCUCCAGUGAUUUGCCAGCCAAUCCAAUCUGACAAGUUAGUUGUCUGUUGGGAAAUUAUAUACCAUGGCAGUGAAAAAGAAAAAGACGAUGAAAUACUUUAGGGGGGAAUUCGUUUACCCAGCAAUUAUGAUGUUAAACAUAACUGUAGCGCCUAUUGCAACUCCGGCGAGGCCUCUGUUCUGUUUUUAUCAGUGAAGAUUGGAGUCGGUUAAAAAAGUUUUGCUAUUCGGGAAUGGAGGAAAUCUGUCGGUGAAAAGAUGAAUAUUCAAGUUUUUUUUUUUUUUUUUUUUUAUCUUUCUGUUUUUUGGGGGAUGGGUGGAGAGAGUGGACAACACGACUCAACAUGGUGAAAUAUGAGCAGGUAAAGCAAUUGAUGCAGGGAAGAUCAUCGUACUGCUCUGUGAUUAGAAGCAACGCCAGAGAUGUUGAACAUCAGAAUAAAUGAAAUUAUGAAUUCCCAUGCGAUGGCUUCCAGGUCCGUAGUUGAAUCCGAGUACUGAGUCGUUGCGGCAUGAGUAUUGUCUUGGCCGUGAAACAAUACUCUGAGGGUCAGGCUCGCAAGUGCUGCAGCCAACACUUGAGACAAGGCAUACAUUGGCACCUACAUUAUAUUAGAGUAGCAGGCAAGUUUUUAGUUGACAACCAAUGGUCCAGGAAAAAGGCCAAGACAAAAAACUAAAAAACACAUCAAACAUGGAAAAAUGUUACGUGUAAAGGAGUAUCGAAAGGUGUCUCACAUGUUUCCAUGGAAAUUUAGAGGCAGCAGCGAAGGCAAUGGUAACUGCAGGAUUAAAAUGAGCACCAGACACGUGAGCAAGUGCAUAUAUCAACGCCAUUAGAGUUAAACCCCACACAGCUGCUAUACCCACAAUCGAAAGCGUUUGUAUUUUGCGACAAGAGCAGCCCCGCAGCCUGCAAAUAUGAGAAUGAACUUACCCAAGAUCUCUGCAACGAUCUGGUCACGCAAGCACGGGAUUGAAAGGAGAGAAUCUUGGUUAAUACCAGAUUGUUAUUUUGCGCCUUGAUAUAAAAUCAAUUCUAUCUAGUGGCUACCCUUUUAAUGGCUAUCUUUUGGAACACAGAUGGAGAGGUGUCAGCCCUAAUGGCAGAUUCUCGCAAGCGACUGCCUUUUGCUUCUUCCAUAGGAGAGUGCCAAACCGGCAGCCCAACUUUGGGGGAGGGCUCAACUGUAAUCGAAAGUGAAUCAGACAUGGAUGGUUACACUCAGUAACUACACCACAAUGGAAAGUGUCUGCCUUUUGCAACUA